rnacentral:rRNA from 1 species
CUGCUGCCUCCCGUAGGAGUCUGGUCCGUGUCUCAGUACCAGUGUGGGGGACCUUCCUCUCAGAACCCCUAUCCAUCGUGGACUUGGUGAGCCGUUACCUCACCAACUAUCUAAUGGAACGCAUGCCCAUCUAUCAGCGAUAAUUCUUUAACAAAUAUUUCCAUGUGGAACCCCUGUUUUAUGCGGUAUUAGUCCGACUUUCGCCGGGUUAUUCCCCUCCUGAUAGGUAGGUUGCAUACGCGUUACUCACCCGUGCGCCGGUCG